rnacentral:rRNA from 1 species
GACGAACGCUGGCGGCGUGCUUAACACAUGCAAGUCGAACGGUAAGGCCCCUUCGGGGGUACACGAGUGGCGAACGGGUGGGUAACACGUGAGCAACCUGCCCUUGACUCUGGAAUAACAGUUGGAAACAGCUGCUAAUACUGGAUAUUCAUCGUCUCCUUCCUGGGGGGUGGUGGAAAGCUCCGGCGGUCAGGGAUGGGCUCGCGGCCUAUCAGCUUGUUGGUGAGGUAAUGGCUCACCAAGGCUUCGACGGGUAGCCGGCCUGAGAGGGCGACCGGCCACACUGGGACUGAGAUACGGCCCAGACUCCUACGGGAGGCAGCAGUGGGGAAUAUUGCACAAUGGGCGCAAGCCUGAUGCAGCAACGCCGCGUGCGGGAUGACGGCCUUCGGGUUGUAAACCGCUUUCAGUAGGGACGAAGGGUGACUGACGGUACCUACAGAAGAAGGACCGGCUAACUACGUG